GCCAAGCCACAGAGGCCAAGAGUAAUAGAGCGAGUAAAAGGCACUAAAGUCAAGUCAGCAAGAACACAAACUGACUUUCAUGCUACACCACUUACGAAAACGGACUCUAAAGCACAGCAUCCCAUCACCACACUACCUCAUGCUCAUCAGCAGUGUGUGCUCAGCCCAAGCAGAGAGAUGCCUACCGUUUCAGGGACCCUGGACGGUCAUCUAAUCCCCAUGGCAAUCCUUCUCGGUAAGAAACAGCGAACGUGGAUGUAGGGAAGGGGGUGGUCCAUUGCUUGUGACGAGUAGCAGAAGUUAUCACAGUCACCUCCUGUCUUAUGUCUGGAGAGAGCCUCAGAAUGUAGGCUAUGCAGGGCAAAGUGAUCUCUUAAACUGGGAGUUUACAAGAAAUAGUCUCUGGGUGUGUCGCUGUAGAUGACGAGAGUGACAUAUAAUAGUUCAAGAAGUCAGGUUUGUUCUAGUAUCGUCAUGCCUGAGGAUAGAUCCUGGAAAGCACUGUUAUGUAGUACUGAACUAGGUUGUGGUAAGUAAAAGCUAGGUGGUCAUGUGUUCUAGGAGAAUAGUAGGUUAUUUCCUUGUAUGAGAUCUCUGUGAGUCACAUUAAAAGCUGGACAGAUCU
rnacentral:lncRNA from 1 species